UAUACUUUAGUAUAAUUAUGUGCAAUAGUUUUUGAUACUAUAGGAAAUAGUUUAAAUCUAUUAAGUGUAA
rnacentral:tRNA from 1 species